AAAGUGCGAUAAGCAAUGCGAAUUGCAGAAUUCCGCGAAUCAUCAGAUCCUUGAACGCAACUGGCGCUAGGAGGCUCUCCUCCUAGCAUGCCUGUUUCAGUGUCUGAAAACAUCAUAUCUACCUUAAUGUGGCUGACCAAAAAGAAGGAUUUUAUAUCUCUUCUUUUCCUAGGUCUUCCAUUAAAGAUGUACGUGUGGGUCUUUGAACCCCUCAUUGAAUUGGUCACUGGUCUCUUCAGUGAUUUCAAUAGGGCUUGUUUCAAUUACCUCAUUAUACACUGUAGAAUCUUUUUAGAUCUCUUGAUCUAAAAAACCACAUCAUCAAACUCUGCAUCUGAAAUCAGGCAAGAACACCCGCUGAACUUAA
rnacentral:misc_RNA from 1 species